rnacentral:rRNA from 1 species
CCUACGGGUGGCAGCAGUGAGGAAUAUUGGUCAAUGGUCGGGAGACUGAACCAGCCAAGCCGCGUGAGGGAGGAAGGUACAGAGUAUCGUAAACCUCUUUUGUCAGGGAACAAAGGCGGGGACGUGUCCCCGGAUGAGUGUACCUGAAGAAAAAGCAUCGGCUAACUCCGUGCCAGCAGCCGCGGUAAUACGGAGGAUGCGAGCGAUAUCCGGAUUUAUUGGGUUUACAGGGGGCGCAGGGGGUCGUUUAAGUCAUCGGUAAAAGCCCGGGGCUAAACCCAGGCCUGCCGUUGAAACUGGCAGUCUCGAGUUGGAGAGAGGUAUGCGGAAUGCGCGGUGUAGCGGUGAAAUGCAUAGAUAUCGCGCAGAACUCCGAUGGCGAAGGCAGCAUGCCGGCUCCACACUGACGCUGAGGCACGAAAGCGUGGGUAUCGAACAGGAUUAGAUACCCGUGUAGUC